rnacentral:rRNA from 1 species
GACGAACGCUGGCGGCGUGCUUAACACAUGCAAGUCGAGCGGUAAGGCCCUUCGGGUACGACGAGCGGCGAACGGGUGAGUAACACGUGGGUGACCUGCCUCUAGCUCUGGGAUAAGCCUGGGAAACUGGGUCUAAUACCGGAUAUGACUCCACGGCGCAUGUUGUGGGGUGGAAAGCCUUGUGUGGCUAGAGAUGGGCCCGCGGCCUAUCAGCUUGUUGGUGGGGUGAUGGCCUACCAAGGCGACGACGGGUAGCCGGCCUGAGAGGGCGACCGGCCACACUGGGACUGAGACACGGCCCAGACUCCUACGGGAGGCAGCAGUGGGGAAUCUUGCGCAAUGGGCGAAAGCCUGACGCAGCGACGCCGCGUGAGGGAUGAC